rnacentral:rRNA from 1 species
GACGAACGCUGGCGGCGUGCCUAACACAUGCAAGUCAAGGGGAAACGGGUAGCAAUAUCCGGAGUACACUGGCGCACGGGUGAGUAACGCGUAGGUAACCUGCCCAUAGGACGGGGAUAAUUCAGCGAAAGCUGGACUAAUACCCGAUGUUGAGACGUCAUCUCAUGGUGGUGUCUUGAAAAGCCCGCAAGGGUGCCGAUGGAUGGGCCUGCGUCCCAUUAGGUAGUUGGUAGGGUAACGGCCUACCAAGCCUGCGAUGGGUAGCUGGUCUGAGAGGACGGCCAGCCACAAUGGCACUGAAACACGGGCCAGACUCCUACGGGAGGCAGCAGUGGGGAAUAUUGGGCAAUGGGCGAAAGCCUGACCCAGCGACGCCGCGUGGGCGAUGAAGGC